CGGAGGAUCCGAGCGUUAUCCGGAUUUAUUGGGUUUAAAGGGUGCGUAGGCGGCCUAUUAAGUCAGGGGUGAAAGACGGUAGCUCAACUAUCGCAGUGCCCUUGAUACUGAUGGGCUUGAAUGUACUAGAGGUAGGCGGAAUGUGACAAGUAGCGGUGAAAUGCAUAGAUAUGUCACAGAACACCAAUUGCGAAGGCAGCUUACUAUGGUAUUAUUGACGCUGAGGCACGAAAGCGUGGGGAUCAAACAGGAUUAGAUACCCUGGUAGUCCAACGCCCUAAACGAUGAAUACUCGAUGUUAGCGAUAUACAGUUAGCGUCAAAGCGAAAGCGUUAAGUAUUCCACCUGGGGAGUACGCCCGCAAGGGUG
rnacentral:rRNA from 1 species